AGUGAACGCUGGCGGUAGGCCUAACACAUGCAAGUCGAACGGCAGCACAGUAAGAGCUUGCUCUUACGGGUGGCGAGUGGCGGACGGGUGAGGAAUACAUCGUAAUCUACUUUUUCGUGGGGGAUAACGUAGGGAAACUUACGCUAAUACCGCAUACGACCUACGGGUGAAAGCAGGGGAUCUUCGGACCUUGCGCGAUUGAAUGAGCCGAUGUCGGAUUAGCUAGUUGGCGGGGUAAAGGCCCACCAAGGCGACGAUCCGUAGCUGGUCUGAGAGGAUGAUCAGCCACACUGGAACUGAGACACGGUCCAGACUCCUACGGGAGGCAGCAGUGGGGAAUAUUGGACAAUGGGCGCAAGCCUGAUCCAGCCAUACCGCGUGGGUGAAGAAGGCCUUCGGGUUGUAAAGCCCUUUUGUUGGGAAAGAACAGCAGCAGGUUAAUACCCCGCUGUUCUGACGGUACCCAAAGAAUAAGCACCGGCUAACUUCGUG
rnacentral:rRNA from 1 species